rnacentral:rRNA from 1 species
AUUGAACGCUGGCGGCAGGCCUAACACAUGCAAGUCGAACGGUAACAGGAAGCAGCUUGCUGCUUCGCUGACGAGUGGCGGACGGGUGAGUAAUGUCUGGGAAGCUGCCUGAUGGAGGGGGAUAACUACUGGAAACGGUAGCUAAUACCGCAUAAUGUCGCAAGACCAAAGAGGGGGACCUUCGGGCCUCUUGCCAUCGGAUGUGCCCAGAUGGGAUUAGCUUGUUGGUGGGGUAACGGCUCACCAAGGCGACGAUCCCUAGCUGGUCUGAGAGGAUGACCAGCCACACUGGAACUGAGACACGGUCCAGACUCCUACGGGAGGCAGCAGUGGGGAAUAUUGCACAAUGGGCGCGAGCCUGAUGCAGCCAUGCCGCGUGUAUGAAGAAGGCCUUCGGGUUGUAAAGUACUUUCAGCGGGGAGGAAGGGAGUAAAGUUAAUACCUUUGCUCAUUGACGUUACCCGCAGAAGAAGCACCGGCUAACUCCGUGCCAGCAGCCGCGGUAAUACGGAGGGUGCAAGCGUUAAUCGGAAUUACUGGGCGUAAAGCGCACGCAGGCGGUUUGUUAAGUCAGAUGUGAAAUCCCCGGGCUCAACCUGGGAACUGCAUCUGAUACUGGCAAGCUUGAGUCUCGUAGAGGGGGGUAGAAUUCCAGGUGUAGCGGUGAAAUGCGUAGAGAUCUGGAGGAAU